rnacentral:rRNA from 1 species
UACGAAGGGGGCUAGCGUUGCUCGGAAUCACUGGGCGUAAAGGGUGCGUAGGCGGGUCUUUAAGUCAGGGGUGAAAUCCUGGAGCUCAACUCCAGAACUGCCUUUGAUACUGAGGAUCUUGAGUUCGGGAGAGGUGAGUGGAACUGCGAGUGUAGAGGUGAAAUUCGUAGAUAUUCGCAAGAACACCAAUGGCGAAGGCAGCUCACUGGGACGGUAUUGACGCUGAGACGCGAAAGCGUGGGGAGCAAACAGG